rnacentral:tRNA from 1 species
GGGGGCGUGGCGAAAGUGGCAAACGCGCAAGACUAGGAAUCUUGUGGCUUCAGAGCCUUGCGAGUUCGACUCUCGUCGCCCCCA